UACGUAGGGUGCGAGCGUUGUCCGGAAUUAUUGGGCGUAAAGAGCUCGUAGGCGGUCUGUCGCGUCGAUCGUGAAAACUUGGGGCUUAACCCUGAGCUUGCGGUCGAUACGGGCAUGACUGGAGUUCGGCAGGGGAGACUGGAAUUCCUGGUGUAGCGGUGAAAUGCGUAGAUAUUGGGAGGAACACCAGUGGCGAAGGCGGCUCACUGGACCGGUACUGACGCUGAGGCGCGAAAGCGUGGGGAGCAAACGGG
rnacentral:rRNA from 1 species